AGCGAACGUUAGCGGCGGGCCUAACACAUGCAAGUCGAACGCGAAAGGUCUUCGGACUGAGUAGAGUGGCGCACGGGUGAGUAACACGUAGGUAAUCUACCCUUUGGCGGGGGAUAACGUUCCGAAAGGAGCGCUAAUACCGCAUAAGACCACGGAGUCUCCGGACGCUGUGGGAAAAGGUGGCCUCUUCUUGAAAGCUACCACCGAAGGAUGAGCCUGCGUCCCAUCAGCUAGUUGGUAAGGUAAUGGCUUACCAAGGCGAAGACGGGUAGCUGGUUUGAGAGAAUGAUCAGCCACACUGGCACUGGAACACGGGCCAGACUCCUACGGGAGGCAGCAGUGAGGAAUAUUGGGCAAUGGGCGAAAGCCUGACGCAGCCACGCCGCGUGAGCGAUGAAGGCCUGGGUCGUAAAGCUCUGUGGGGAGAGAAGAAUAAAGACCUGUGAAGAGCAGGCCUUGACGGUAUCUCCUUAGCAAGCACCGGCUAACUCCGUG
rnacentral:rRNA from 1 species